rnacentral:rRNA from 1 species
UACGGAGGAUGCAAGCGUUAUCCGGAAUGAUUGGGCGUAAAGCGUCCGCAGGUGGCAAUGUAAGUCUGCUGUCAAAGCGUCUGGCUCAACCAGAUACAGGCAGUGGAAACUACAUAGCUAGAGUAAGGUAGGGGUAGAGGGAAUUCCUGGUGUAGCGGUGAAAUGCGUAGAGAUCGGGAAGAACACCAAUGGCGAAGGCAGCCUCCUGGGCCAACAUUGACGCUGAGACGCGAAAGCGUGGGGAGCAAACAGG